GGGGCACACCUCUCGGGGGAGAGUGCAGCCGGGCCAGCUGAGGAGUCCCAAUGGGCCCGAGGCACUGUGUCACACAAGCAAUGGCCAGCCGCUCCUGAUGGCAGCCCAAGCCCAGCCCCAGUGGCUGCCAGCUCUGCCCUGGCCCAGCACACCUUCCCAGGCUCAGCCCUGCCAAAAGAGCCAUCCCAGAGAUGAUGGAGCAACAUGGGGAUCCGUGGGAGACCGACUGUACAAGUGCCCCUGGCGUAUUCCUUUGGACUCUUCCCAAGCUCUGGGGUAAGACAGACCUAGGACCCAAUCUCUGUGCCUAUGAACUUGUGACCCUGGGCUAGGAUGAUAUCAGCCUCCCGACAGCCUGUGGGUUCUGAAUGAGUCACUGCAUAUAGGGGCACAGGAGCCACAAGACAGAAUCAUCAGCCUCCAGAGCCUUCUUCAGCCCCUUUUAAAUUCUAUUUAUUUAUGUAUUUAUGUAUGUACGUAUGUAUGUAUUUAUUUUUGAGAUGGAGUCUCGCUCUGUCGCUAGGCUGGAGUGCAGUGGCGCAAUCUCAGCUUACUGCAACCUCUGCCUCCCGGGUUCAAGCGAUUCUCCUGUCUCAGCCUCUCACGUAGUCACGUAGCGACUCCAGUCACGCACCACCAUGCCCAGCUAAUUUUUGUAUUUUUAGUAGAGAUGGCAUUUCACCAUGUUGGCCAGGAUGGUCUCGAUCUCUUGACCUCGUGAUCUGCCCACCUCGGCCUCCCAAAGUGCUGGGAUUACAGGCGUGAGCCACCGCGCCCGGCCUUCUUCAGCCCCUUCCAAGGAGGCCAGGAAUUGUGUUUGGCCUGGCACUCUGUGGAAGCCGGCUGGCCCAGGGCUGGGAGGGCAGACUGCACUUGGGGAGACAUCUGGGGCGUAAGGAUGUUACGAAGGGUCUCUGCGAACCCCUCCAUGCCACCCUCCUUGGGUGGGGUUAGUUGCUGAGAGGUGGCUCCCAGCCCUGUUUUAGAAUUGGGUUGGGGUCGGCUGCUGAGAGGAGGAAGACGGGCCAAUGUUUUGGGUCAUUUCCACCAAGUUCUGGGCCCCAGAAUGAACUUCAGAG
rnacentral:lncRNA from 1 species